rnacentral:rRNA from 1 species
UCCGGUGGCUAUAGCAGAGAGGUCACACCUGUUCCCAUGCCGAACACAGCCGUUAAGCUCUCUAGCGCCGAUGGUAGUUGGGGUUCUUCCCCUGUGAGAGUAGGACGCUGCCGGGC